rnacentral:lncRNA from 1 species
AUUAAUCUAUACAGAUCAUUAUGAUUAAUAAGAACAUGACUAGGUAAAAAGAAGUGAUCAAGGGCACAACUUGCCUUCAACGAGCUCCUGCUCAGCAGUCUCCACCUGCUGAACCCCUGGAUCUUCAGUGGCAAGCUCGUCUACUCGCAUCAAUACGAACAAACAUGGUAUAGCAAAAAUUAACAUCACACCAAACAAUAGAUCAGAAUGUAUGGUAAUAUUCUACGCUGCGCAACGAGAUCGUAGGAACAAGAAUUACUAAAUUUAGAAUUACGGUUAUUUAGUUAUGAAUUUCUAAAGUUAUUUAGCACUUAGAAUAUAUUAAUUCAACUGUACAAUUUUAUUCCAAGUUAUAUGGCUAAACAGUGGUACUAGAUGAUGAACAAUAUUAAAACAAAAUUAUUGCAACUGGAAUGGAUCAAUUUGGAGCAAAAAUGAAUUAAAUAUGAAUUAUACAAGUUUCUAGAAUUAUUUUUGUAUUAAAAAUCAAUUUCUAUAAUUAAUUAUCUAUUUUUCAUUGUUAUCUGGACUGCGCGUCAAUACUGGAAAGGUCAGGGGCUAACUCGCAAAAAACCCCACAGACUCAGAUCUAACACGUGGUGGACGGCAGGUUGAUAUAUAUAAAGGACAGGGGCCCAUUUACAAUUUUACCUCGGGGAAGCGUUAUCUGGUGAUCCUAGCGGUCCGAUCUAAAUCAGAUGGUCCACAUUACAUCCGCGUUUCCCCGAACGGGUAUGCGAUCACCGCAGGUUCGGAGAUCGAUGGUUCAGGUGAAAAACACGCAUGACUGCGCCCUGCCCGCACGAUUGUGAUCCGACACUCCCGAACCACUCGUGCCGAAGCGUUAUGUUGGAUUUAAUCAUAGCCACCCACGCCCGAAUCAAUGGCCAGCAUCUAUCUUCCCCGACGCGACGUCCACAGCGGCGGCGACGCUCCCAUACCCGGCGGAGGACGUCACCGGCUAGAACCCAAAGAUCGAAAUCCGCCCGGAACUCCGUCCCGAUGGGCUCUAAUCGUAGUAGAGAAGAUCGCGGGGCUAGGGGAGGCUAUCUCACCGAGUAUUGAAGUGUGGGUAGCCCUGUCGCGGCGGAAUGCGGUUCCAGCGGUGGAAAAGGCUCCGGUGAGCAAUUCUCGCCACCGCGACGCCCGGUUCUUCCUGUCGCGCCCGCGAGUGGCACCACCCCGCUCCCGUGAUGCACCCCGACCCGGAUUCAGAUCACCAGCAACGCUGACUCCCAGUCUACCACGUGGCGGCCCUGGUCUCUCUCUCCUUUUCACUGUG